rnacentral:lncRNA from 1 species
CCGACAAACGCCACCACCUAAACUCUCCUCCUCGAAUCGUUCUUUUUUGCCCUAUGAAUAUCGGAUCGAACGGUCAGUAGCACAACACGCCUCAACUCACCACCGCAACACAACAACCCAGCCCUCUCCUGCCAAACCAAGAUUUAAGAUUGAGAAAAACAGUAAAGUUCAAUUAAUUCAUCAGUUCUUGCUUGAUACGUUUUAUUCAUUUUUUGUAGCAUUCAAUAUGUAUACAAGAUGC